ensembl:lncRNA
AUGAACAUCGUGUGCUUGUACUCCCUCAAUAGUUUGGGCACGUUUCAACCAGCUCAAUCCGAGCAGUUGCAGAAAACAUGGGACAUGAGACGUAUGUGGCAGGGUCUACAGGAAAUCACGGACUACAAGAAGAAAACCAGCCACGUCACGGACACCGACAUUACGCUUCCAGACAAACUAAACACCUUCUUUGCCCGCUUUGAGGAUAAAUCAGUUCCACCGUCGUGGCCUGCUAACAAGAGCUGCAUCCCUCUCCUUCUCCGGGGCCGGCAUGAGUAAAACAUUUAAACGGCUGCUGGCCCAGACGGCAUCCUUAGCCACGUCCUCGGAGCACGCGCAGACCAGCUGGCUGGUGUGUUUAUGGACAUAUUCAAUCGCUCCCUAUCCCAGUCUGCUUCAAGAUAGAUACCAUUGUUCCUGUACCCAAGAAGGCAAAGAUAACUGAACUGAAUGACUACUGCCCCGUAGCACUCACUUCUGUCAUCAUGAAGUGCUUUGAUAGACUAGUCAAGGAUCAUAUCACCUCCACCUUACCGGCCACCCUAGACCCAGUUUGCCUACCACCCUAACAGGUCCGCAGACGAUGCAUUCGCCUGCACACUGCCCUAUCCCAUCUGGACAAGAGGAAUACCUAUGUAAGAAUGCUGUUCAUUGACUACAGCUCAGCAUUCAACACCAUAGUACCCUCCAAGCUCAUCAUCAAGCUGGAGGACUUUCUGGACUUUCUGACCGGCCACCCCCAGGUGGUGGUGAAGGUAGGAAACAACAUCUCCACCUCGCUGACCCUCAACACUGGGGCCCCACAAGGGUGGGCUUGAUUACCAACAACGGCGAGACAGUCUACAGGGAGGAGGUGAGGGCACUUGGAGUGUGGUGUCAGGAAAACAAUCUCUUUAUUUUGUUGACGCUGAGUAGAGAUGAUCGUGGACUUCAGGAAACAGCAGAGGGAGCACCCCCCGCCACACAAAUGGUCCACCCACACAGACAGCGUGGUGAAGAAGGCGCAACAGCGCCUCUUCAACCACAGGAGGCUGAAGAAAUUUGGCUUGACACCCAAAACCCUGACUAACUUUUCCAGAUCCACAAUCGAGAGCAUCCUGUCGGGCUGUAUCACAACCUGGUACAGCAACUGCUCUGCCCUCAACCGCAGGCCCUCCAGAGGGUGGUGCGGUCUGCACAACGCAUCACCGGGAGCAAACUACCUGCCCUCCAUGAUACCUAUAGCACCCGAUGUCACAGGAAGGCCAAAAAGAUAAUCAAAGACAACCACCUGAGCUACUGCCUGUUCACCCCUGUUACCAUCCAGAAAGUGAGGUCUCCAGACCAGAGCUGCAUCAACACACCGCGCAAAGAAACCAACCCCAGACCCACUACAGACAUGAUCAUCAGACUGGGCAGGCUGACCCCUGGAUACUUCCGCCUCCUACAGAGACAGGUGGCGGGUGAGGUGCAGACCCAGCCACAGGACCGCGCGGUCAACCAGAUAGCCAUGAUGCUGGCCAUCAUGGGCCUGAGCCUGUCCUACUACAGUGCCAAACGGAUGACGGAGAAGGUCCAUAGGCUCCAGAAGAGAAGAGAUCCCCAUACCCCCUGAAGAGACCCCCCUGGAGAUUACAGUGUCGGUGUCCAGAACAACACCUUUUCACAACCAAUCAGUCGUAGUCACGUCGUUCAGACACUGGAGUUUUACUGGGAUCACUCUCAAUGUGAGGAGAAUUCGGGAAUUCGGGGGGAGUGUAUGUGGGAAAGGGUGUGUAUGUGGGAAAGGCCCAUGGUGGGGUUUGUGUGGUCCUGAUAACGUUUGGGGGGUAAAAAAUACAACCAGCUGUCUAUGGUCAGGCUGGGCUCCUGCUUCAGUCGUUGCCAGGGUACAGGCGUGCAGGAUGCCGUCAAUACUGUUCUGAGCUAAAAAGGGAUAGAGAAAUGCUUAACUGGAUAUUCUAAUGUACUGUGAAUCUUGCCAGUGAAUCUUGCCAACUAUAUGACAGUUUGUCUAAAAUAACUGAACAGUAAUUAUUUUUUAAUUAAGGGAAGGCUAUCUGCACUUGAGAUGUAUCUAGUAAUGACUGAAGGCGGGCCCGUAGUGCGGUUGAAAGUGGGAAGAAAGGAACCCUCUUAGGUUUUUUGUAAUUCCUUAUUGUUAAAAAAAAAUAAAAGUGAGCCAUGUGAACUAGAUGUGGAGGAGUCUCAAACUGGUCAAUAAUUCCACACAUGUUCAAUAUAUGUUAAUGUCAGACACAAACAACUGUACAUUACUGGUGAAAUUAAGUAUUUUAACAUUUUGGGAACUUGCUUAUCCAAAUAUAUGAAAGAAAGGCACUUCAAUCACAACUUUGUUUUUCACAAUGUUUCUAGAUUAAAGUCUUGAUAAAAAUGUGUGGCUUUCUUUAAAGAACUCGAUCUGCAAUAGCUACUAGGUGUUACCACAAAUAUUCUAACUUUAGUAAACGUUGCAUGGGUGUGCAGCUUUUAAUCUCUUCGUUAAUACUGUCACAUUCAGUUUUUUUUAAAGGAUGAUAACCAUGAAUGUAUUUUUCUGUGAUGUUUUUAUAGAAAAGCUGUGACU